ACAUUGACAGCUGUUACAGAGGAGGAAGCAACAGAGACACUUUAUGAGAGUGAUGAUGGAAAUGCAGAGGAAGAGGGUCCAGCCACUUCUCCAACAAACCUUUCCUCACUCCCUGUAAAGCAGCUGUAUAAGAAAUAUUUGAUCAAGAAAAUAGAAAAAUG